rnacentral:miRNA from 1 species
AAAACGCAAAUGAACUUUUUGG